GAGUCGAGCUCUGACAUUGCUUCGAUGGA
rnacentral:sRNA from 1 species